GAUGAUACGGAUUUUUUAAUAGUAUUGAUAAAACUUCCAUUCGAGAAGGUUUAACUUCUCUUCCUCCAUUCUGAAGUGUUCUUUCCAGUGCACGUUCACAGUAUGCUGCAUAUUUUCCACACUCCGUUCUAAAAAUAAAAUCAGCAUUUCUUUGGAGAUGAAGCUUUAAAUACCAGAGUAGACGAUUGUUCCUUGGUAAGAAGAGUGAAACAGCAAGUGCGAGUAACUGCCAUCCUUGAACGAGCACGUAUUGAGCAGGAUUUGUUUUGCAGUCCAAAAUAUUUGAUGUUGAAUGACCCUGCGUGAGCGGAGGACUGUGAGAAGUUGAGGCCGUCGACUGCGCAUCCGCAUUUUCACCGCCGCCGUUUGCCGCGGGGCUUUGCGUAUCGCAAGUGAAGAGCGAUUGCGUGGCGCACAGAAGGAGUUGCUGUAAUGGUAUGCUGGCGUACUACUAUCAUCCGUGCAUUUUGACCCACACCUAACAUAUUCUAAUACCCUUCUUGUCGAAUUUUUUUUUAUUUUUUACAUCUAACCCUUUAUUAAUUCAAUUUAUAUCUGGCCUCAUUUCUAACAAGUAUUUAAUUUUUUUUUUUAAUUUUUAUUUAUUUUCAAUUGGAAUUUUUUUUUUGUUAUAAAAAUAUUUUUUAUAAUUUAAAAUAAUGGCGAUGAACAAUAAAAGAUAAAAAAGCGAUAAGAGAAUUUGAAACUAAGACGAAUAAUUAUUUAAGAAAAAAUAUAUGUAGCAAUAGUUGAUAAAACAAAUAUUGGUUUUUUAUUUUAUAUUCUAUAUUUACUAUUUAGUAGACUAUAAUAAAUGAAAGUGCAAGAUAUAAAAAAAUCGCGGUAUGUUAAUUACAAAUAAAUUGAUUAAUAAAUAAAAUAAUGUGAAUUUAAAGCAAUGAAGUUAUUAACAAAAAAAAUAUAUAUAUUUUAAUUGGCAUUUUGAAUAAAAAAAAAAACCACAACGCAUUAUCACUUUUAACAAUGAUGAUUAAAAGCGGGGACCAAAGGUUCACUCUUUUAUUCAUAUCAUUCGUUGUAAUUCACUCAGUGUAAGAUAAAAUUUCUAGCUUAAUUAAAUCCGGCUAUGAUAUUUUGCUGUAAUAAUUAACUAGAACUUAAUUUAUUAAGCAGCAUACGACAAAAAAAUAAGUAUCUCAAUCUAAUUGCGAAAUCAACUGAUUAGAGGCAAAAAGUUGAUUCUAAUAAUGUUGUUCUGUGUGUUUUGGUUCUGAUGUACACCAACAUACCAUUUUGCAAGUGUAUGUGUAAAUAAACGCAUUUUGAAAAAUUUCUCAUAAUAGUAGUUAAAUAUUAACUAUCUAAUUAUAUUUUUUAUUUAGUUUUAUAUAUAUAUAUAUAUAUAUAUAUUUUUUUUUCAAAUGUAAUAAUGAAUUAUAGAUAAUGAAGAAUUUAUCAAAUUACGUUCAUUUCACGUGAGGGAUUAUGAUCAAGAUAAUAAUUUGAUAUAAUGAAUUAAUUAAAACAUACGUGAUUAAACAAAUGUAGUUAAUUAAUUGGUGCAUGUUAAUGGUAUGAAACGAUUAUAGGAAAUAUACAUUCAUGCAUCUUAAAUGUUAGAAAGCGCACAACAUAGCGCAUUCAAAGCGGCAAAUGAAAAUGACAAUGGAUGUUAUAAAUCAAAAUUUUUUUUUAAUUAGUCCUUAGUCAAGUAUUAUUGUGCGUAACUAUUUGCAAUAAUUUAUAUAAAAAUAAUACCAAGUGAAUUAUUAUUUAACUCCGUGAAGAAAAUUAAAAAUUUUGUGACAGUAGAGCACUAGCUCACCGCUUCACGUUCGAGGUGUGCAAUUAUUAAUAACUAUAAAAACAACACACUUUACACAGUAAAAAAUAUUGUGUGUAUGUGUUACAAACGGUCCGUAGUAAAAUUUUUGUGUUGAUUACUUUAUGUUAAAUCAGCAUAUUUCAUUGUGUUACUUUAAAAUUUUGAAUCAAUCUACUACUUAACACUUUAAAAGUAUUACCUAGUACACAAAUCCAAAUGAUUAUUAUUGACUCUAAUAAAAACAUUAUUCACUAUAAAAAAAAUAGUUGAAUGUUGAAUAACAAUCUCUCUAUUAAACUGAAUUAGUGAAAACGUUACUGAUUUUUCCAGUAGUUAAAAAAUUUACUGAAAGAUUAGUAGCUUUGAAUCAAGUUACUGACUAAUCAGUGAAUUUUGCUUCACGGCAGUAAACAGUGCCAUCUACUUGAGAGCUUGUUCGCUAGACAGAGGUUAAUUGCUAUUUACAAUCAAAGAUUAUUAUUUAUAUGACACUAUUAUUACGGGAAGUUAAAAUAUUUUAACAAACAAAAGUUCAUUUAUAAUUUAUAUAUCAAUGAAACUUCUUCAUUUUUCUCAAUUGAAUAUGAGUAGAAUAGUUCUGAAAUGUAUUAGUAUAAAGAUUUAUAACUAUUUCUGAUGGAAAAUUACUAUAAUUUAACACACAAUUACUUGAUAAUAUUAAAGUGGAAGACUUGUUAAAUGAAUUUGACUGUCAAAACCCAUUUGACGGACUGAAGAAUUUAAAUCAACAACAGAGCCUGAAGAAAUACCACUUGGUUACAGAAUGGAGAACGUAUUUGAUCGAAAAACUUGUAUAUAUGUUGAAUCUAUUUUCAUCAACGGCAAUAUCUGAUUAUAAUAUGAAUUUUUGUAUUUUUUAAUGAGAAUUGAUCAAUAAAUAUUGAUUUCUCCGCAUCAAAAACUGAAUCAGUAGUUAUGACUAAUUACAUCUGUUACGAUCACUAAUUCGUUCAGUAACAAUUUGACUGAUUAGAAUAGUGAAGCGAUUUCUACUAAUUGAAUCAGUAACAUUUUACUGUUUUGCAAUGAUAUACUUGGGACUAUUUACAUCAGUAAAUAUUCACCGAUUCAGAUUAAGAGAUUGUUGUCGAUUUGAUAACUUCAAUGUAUAUAUAAAUUAUAUUUAAUGAACGUUCAUGGUACAAAAAUAAAAUGUAAAUGUUGACAUUUUUUUUGUGUAUCGCCGCGGAUAUUAAAAAAUGUUGAAUCUACUUCUCGUAUUCCUCGAAUUUUGUUUUUAAAUUUUAACUCAAAUUUUGUAUGAAAAUCCACCAUAAAUAGUCUAUUAAAAAAAAAAAAAUCAUUAAUAUUGUGUGGAUCGUUUCUAACACAGAUUAUGUAUUUUAACAGAAUAUUUUUUACUGUGAUAGUUAAUGUUAAGUAAUUGAGUUAGUCACACAUUUGUUAUAGUUGUUAUAAUUAUAUAAAAUAAUACUUGACCAAGUAUAUUCGUUAUACCAUUUUUUGAGCUUUACAAAAAUAAAUAAAUAAUUAAUUGACAAGACUUAUUUUAUCAAUAAAAGUAAUAACUAAAAAUUUAACAUAAAUUAAUUUUGAUCGUUAAAAAAAUGGUAUACGAAUUGGUAUCUUUUGUUAAACAAUAAGCAAGACUUACAACACGC